AUCUCCGCAGCCCGCGCGGCCCUGGCCGCUGCAACAGGCCCUGUUCCAAGUGAAAGUCACCCAAAGGGACCUGUCUCUGGGAUUCAAGGACAGACUGCAAAACAACCUGUUAUUCUCCUAGCCAAAGGCAGAUAAAAAGAACUGGAUCACUGGCUCAGGAACAAUGCCAUAAAACUCGAAAGUCACAGACCAAGGAACCAGCAGGUGCCAUGGGUGUCUGAUGCCCCUGUCUUCUGCCAGUGCCUGACCGAAAGGAAAGGUAAGUGUUCCAGUCACA